UGGGUGUGGAGAGAGCAGAGCGCCUGAAGAGUGGCCUCUGUGUACAGCUCACCCAACAGCCACUUGGGCUUACUCCUCACGGGGCCGCACACUACGGCCUCCUGUGACAUUCCGCCCUAUACAU